rnacentral:rRNA from 1 species
GACGGAGGAUGCAAGUGUUAUCCGGAAUCACUGGGCGUAAAGCGUCUGUAGGUGGUUUAAUAAGUCAACUGUUAAAUCUUGAGGCUCAACCUCAAAAUCGCAGUCGAAACUAUUAGGCUAGAGUAUAGUAGGGGUAAAGGGAAUUUCCAGUGGAGCGGUGAAAUGCGUAGAGAUCGGAAAGAACACCAACGGCGAAAGCACUCUGCUGGGCCGACACUGACACUGAGAGACGAAAGCUAGGGGAGCGAAUGGGAUUAAUACCGUACGAGU